CAGCAGCCGCGGUAAUACAGAGGAUGCAAGCGUUAUCCGGAAUGAUUGGGCGUAAAGCGUCUGUAGGUGGCUUUUCAAGUCCGCCGUCAAAUCCCAGGGCUCGACCCUGGACAGGCGGUGGAAACUACCAAGCUGGAGUACGGUAGGGGCAGAGGGAAUUUCCGGUGUAGCAGUGAAAUGCGUAGAGAUCGGAAGGAACAUCUGUGGCGAAGGCGACUAUCUGGGCCAACACUGACACUGAGGCACGAAAGCGUGGGUAGCAAACAGGAUUAGAUACCCCAGUAGUCCCUGUCUCUUAUAC
rnacentral:rRNA from 1 species